AUGCCCUCAUGGCCAAUUGGCCAAUUCCUCAGGCAACCUCUUCAAGGGCAACUCCAAUUGCCUUUGUUGCCACAAAAUUUGCAAAUGCCGCUUGAUACGUCUCCAACGUAUCUAUAA
rnacentral:rRNA from 1 species